UCGUCAGCUCGUGUCGUGAGAUGUUGGGUUAAGUCCCGUAACGAGCGCAACCCUUGUCCUUAGUUACCAGCACGUUAUGGUGGGCACUCUAAGGAGACUGCCGGUGGACAAACCGGAGGAAGGUGGGGAUGACGUCAAGUCAUCAUGGCCCUUACGGCCUGGGCUACACACGUGCUACAAUGGUCGGUACAAAGGGUUGCCAAGCCGCGAGGUGGAGCUAAUCCCAUAAAACCGAUCGUAGUCCGGAUCGCAGUCUGCAACUCGACUGCGUGAAGUCGGAAUCGCUAGUAAUCGUGAAUCAGAAUGUCACGGUGAAUACGUUCCCGGGCCUU
rnacentral:rRNA from 1 species